rnacentral:rRNA from 1 species
AACCGGAGCUAAUACCGGAUAAUAUAUUGAACCGCAUGGUUCAAUAGUGAAAGACGGUUUUGCUGUCACUUAUAGAUGGAUCCGCGCCGCAUUAGCUAGUUGGUAAGGUAACGGCUUACCAAGGCAACGAUGCGUAGCCGGCCCGAGAGGGUGAUCGGCCACACUGGAACUGAGACACGGUCCAG